AGCGAACGCUGGCGGCAUGCCUAACACAUGCAAGUCGAACGAAGUCUUCGGACUGAGUGGCGGACGGGUGAGUAACACGUGGUAACGUACCGUUUGGUUCGGAACAACUCAGGGAAACUUGAGCUAAUACCGGAUUAGCACUGAGGAGGAAAGAUUUAUCGCCGAAAGAGCGGCCCGCGUUAGAUUAGCUAGGUGGUGAGGUAAAGGCUCACCACGGCUACGAUCUAUAGCUGGUCUGAGAGGAUGAUAAGCCACACUGGGACUGAGACACGGCCCAGACUCCUACGGGAGGCAGCAGUGGGGAAUCUUGCGCAAUGGGCGAAAGCCUGACGCAGCCAUGCCGCGUGAAUGAUGAAGGUCUUAGGAUUGUAAAAUUCUUUUACCAGGGACGAUAAUGACGGUACCUGGAGAAAAAGCCCCGGCUAACUUCGUGCCAGCCGCCGCCGUAACAC
rnacentral:rRNA from 1 species